UUCCUUUUCUUUCUCCUGUUCAUAAUUUUGGAAGUUUGUGUUUGAGUGAUACUUGAGCUGCAAUGGCUCUGUUGCAUUUGGUGGUGAAGAUGAGAGUUACAAGUUUCCAACAAUGAUUCUUGAUGGAUGUGGUGGUGCGGUUAAUUAUGCCUCGAUUCCUCGGAAAAUACGGUCUGCCAUAAAAAAGCGAGGCCGUGAGUGUACUUCACCGUUGGUUCGUCUCAUCACAUGCUUAAAUGCCUCUUUGAGCAGAUAUCCGCCCGACACCACAAGAAGAGGCUAGGAAAAUCAGCUCAAAAGUAACUCUUGGAGCUGUUUGUCCUUCAAAUGUGGUGAAAUCAGCCCAAGAAACUUAUUAGCACCUUUUAAUGAUUCAGCAUACCAGAGUUGCUGCUGAAUCGAACAAGUCGUGGAAGAGGUGCUCAUCGCACGUUUACAUAACUCGUCUCAUCAGAGUCUUGCAAA